rnacentral:rRNA from 1 species
UACAGAGGUCCCAAGCGUUGUUCGGAUUCAUUGGGCGUAAAGGGUGCGUAGGUGGCGCUGUAAGUCGGGUGUGAAAUUUCGGAGCUUAACUCCGAAACUGCAUUCGAUACUGCGGUGCUUGAGGACUGGAGAGGAGACUGGAAUUCAUGGUGUAGCAGUGAAAUGCGUAGAGAUCAUGAGGAAGACCAGUGGCGAAGGCGGGUCUCUGGACAGUUCCUGACGCUGAGGCACGAAGGUCAGGGGAGCAAACGGG